CAGUCGCCGCGGUAAUACAGAGGGUGCGAGCGUUAAUCGGAUUUACUGGGCGUAAAGCGUGCGUAGGCGGCUUUUUAAGUCGGAUGUGAAAUCCCUGAGCUUAACUUAGGAAUUGCAUUCGAUACUGGGAAGCUAGAGUAUGGGAGAGGAUGGUAGAAUUCCAGGUGUAGCGGUGAAAUGCGUAGAGAUCUGGAGGAAUACCGAUUGCGAAGGCAGCCAUCUGGCCUAAUACUGACGCUGAGGUACGAAAGCAUGGGGAGCAAACAGGAUUAGAUACCCGCGUAGUCCCUGUCUCUUAUAC
rnacentral:rRNA from 1 species